rnacentral:tRNA from 1 species
GGAGGAUUCGCCUAGUGGCCUAGGGCGCACGCUUGGAAAGCGUGUUGGGCGCAAGCCCUCAGGGGUUCGAAUCCCCUAUCCUCCG